rnacentral:rRNA from 1 species
UACGAAGGGGGCUAGCGUUGUUCGGAAUCACUGGGCGUAAAGCGCACGUAGGCGGACCGUUAAGUCAGAGGUGAGAUCCCAGGGCUCAACCCUGGAACUGCCUUUGAUACUGGCGGUCUCGAGUGUGGUAGAGGUUGGUGGAACUCCGAGUGUAGAGGUGAAAUUCGUAGAUAUUCGGAAGAACACCAGUGGCGAAGGCGGCCAACUGGACCAUUACUGACGCUGAGGUGCGAAAGCGUGGGGAGCAAACAGG